UAGGGAAUCUUCCACAAUGGACGCAAGUCUGAUGGAGCAACGCCGCGUGAGUGAAGAAGGUUUUCGGAUCGUAAAGCUCUGUUGUUGGUGAAGAAGGAUAGAGGUAGUAACUGGCCUUUAUUUGACGGUAAUCAACCAGAAAGUCACGGCUAACUACGUGCCAGCAGCCGCGGUAAUACGUAGGUGGCAAGCGUUGUCCGGAUUUUUUGGGCGUAAAGCGAGCGCAGGCGGAAGAAUAAGUCUGAUGUGAAAGCCCUCGGCUUAACCGAGGAACUGCAUCGGAAACUGUUUUUCUUGAGUGCAGAAGAGGAGGGUGGAAUUCCAUGUGUAGCGGUGGAAUGCGUAGAUAUAUGGAAGAACACCAGUGGCGAAGGCGACUCUCUGGUCUGCAACUGACGCUGAGGCUCGAAAGCAUGGGUAGCGAACAGG
rnacentral:rRNA from 1 species